GACGAACGCUGGCGGCGUGCCUAAUACAUGCAAGUCGAACGCAGGGGGGACGGGUGAGUAACACGUGGGUAACCUCCCAUCAGAGGGGAUAACACUUGGAAACAGGUGCUAAACCGAUACUGAUGGAUGAACCCGCGGUGCAUUAGCUAGUUGGUGAGGUAACGGCUCACCAAGGCCACGAUGCCUAGCCGGUCUGAGAGUGUGAUCGGCCACACUGGGACUGAGACACGGCCCAGACUCCUACGGGAGGCAGCAGUGGGGAAUCUUGGGCAAUGGACGCAAGUCUGACCUAGCAACGCCGCGUGAGUGAAGAAGGUUUUCGGAUCGUAAAACUCUGUUGUUAGAGAAGCGGUAUCUAACCAGAAAGCCACGGCUAACUACGUGCCAGCAGCCGAGGUAAUUC
rnacentral:rRNA from 1 species